UCAUGCUCCCCGGGUUGUGGGAUUGAGCCCUGCAUUGGGCUCCCUGCUGAGGGUGGAGCCUGCUUGAGAUUCUCUGUCUCUCCCUCUGCCCCGUUCUCCCCCUCACCCCCACUUGCACAAACAAAUCAAUCCACCAACCGAUAAAUGCCAAAACAAAAAAGUGGUUACUUGUCUAAGCUAUUAAAUUACUUGAUGUGGUUUCAGCCUAGGUCUACCUGAUGUCAAAACUUGAAGACCUGUGGGGCAAUAGAUAUUCUAGGCUUAUAACAGCUCCAAGAACUAGGAAGUAAUGGAAUCAUAUAAAGACAGAAACCUCAGAAUGCCUGGGCUGAAACUGAGAAAUAAGUUGGAGGCAUAUGGCAACAAGACGAGGGCCAUGUGUAAAUUGCCUCACAAGCUUGUCAUAUAUGCUGUAGGCAAACUGGAACCUGCUUGCUGAGAGGUCUUUGAAGAGGAUUGUGAUCUGAGUUGUUAAAAUGUUAACACAUGGGGGCGCCUGGGUGGCUCAGUCGGUUAAGUGGCCAACUUUUUGAAAAAAAAAAAAAAAAUCAACAUGUGGAAGAUAAAAUACUGGUAAAAAUCAACUCUCCUCAACACUCACAAAUCCCCCUUUUUUUGUCCUGUAAACAGGGCACUUAAAAGUGCCUUUUUUUAGACAGGCACCAUGCCCAAUGUGGUGCUUGAACUCACAACCCUGAGGUCAAGUCACAUGCUCUACCAACUGAGCCAGCCAGGCACACCCCUUAACUCUUCUUCACCCGACCAACUCCAAACAGCCUCCGGUGUCCUGUGAACUCCAGGAUGAUGGGAACUUCACUGGAGAUGGUGUCAAGGCCGGCAUCAAAAAAGGACUUUUGCUGGAGCCCGAGCCGGCUCAGGGGUAGCCAAGCUGGCCUGAGAAUGAAUCACAGCUGGAUGGAAGAACACCAGCAUUUCAAAACUCAGACUGGCAGUUCCUCCAUCGGUACCUUCCAACUCGACAAGCACACAGAUACUACUUUACAAAGUCCCACUCAGACCUCUACGGCCAGAAUAUGUCUACAGCCCCUCCUCAGAGACUUACCUAUCAGGUAGGUGAGCAGCAGGUUGUGGACUUGCUGUCCCACCCACGCAACCGCAGCAAGAGAAACGAUCAUGGUCAUGAAGUACUAACAAUGAAAACAACGAGAAGUUAUCAACCCCUAGAAACAGACCCAGAAGCCUAACUGUAGGACCCUGUUUCAAAGGUUAGAAAAUAAUCCAGUACUUGUUACAACUUUUCUUAAAAGACUUUGUAUCUAAGGAUUAUAUAUAUCUUACAUAUUGGGUUUUAUGUAUUAUAUAAAAACCCAUAGGAAAUUCCAUUAGGUCUACUUUAUAGAAUUUAUACACAUUCCCUUCUAGAAUUACUGUCAUUAUAUAAAUUAGUUUAAAAUCAAUUAUACUUUUACAAUUAAUAAUUCACAUAGUAACCUCAUGUGAAGCUAAGAGAUAAGAGAAUAAAUGCUUUUUAAGUAUUUGUCUUUUACUUUUAUAUUAGUAAGCAUAGAAGAAACAUUUUGCUCUGCUAGAGUACAAAGUUAAAUGCAAAAUAUAAUUUUAACUUCCAAUAAUUCAAUCUAAUUCAUACAGAUAAACAUUUACAAAUGUAGUUGGAGGAGUCAAACCAACGAAUAAUAAAUAUCAAACUACAGCUAUUAAAACAAAAAGGCCAUCAUUAGGCUACAAUGAAUAAAAAUGGACUCGAACUUAAAAUUUUGCUCUACUUAAAUAAGUCAAAACAAAAAAAGUACCAUUUUAGGCUUUUCUUCCUUUAGUGUAAAGAGGCGUUUCCACCAGCCCACAGCUCUGCGUCGAGUUUUUACUAGAUUGCUACAAAUUUCAUGGAAUCUUUGCUGUUGCUCAGUGGUCCUACAAAAAAAUUUUCCCCUUCACUAUAAGCAAAUCUUUAUAGUAAACAGAAAAUAUCAUCCUCUCAAAUUUAAAAAGCUAUCCCCUAAAGAAAGUCUAAAUAAAAAACAAUUCACCAUUCUCUUAUGAACGUGAAAAAGUUUCUGUACUAUUAAGACCCCUUGUAUAGCACAGGAAUGAGUUUUUACAUAAAGGCACGUGUAGGGGCGCCUGGGUGGCUCAGUCAGUUGAGCCUCUGACUUCAGCUCAGGUCAUGAUCUCCCAGUUUGUGAGUUCGAGCCCCGCGUCGGGCUCUGUGCUGACAGCUUGGAGCCUAGAGCCUACUUCAGAUUCUCUGUCUCCCUCUCUAUCUCUGCUCCUCCCCUGCUCAUGGCCUCUCUCUUUCUCGAAAAUAAAUAAAUGUUAAAAAAAAAAAAAAAGACACGUGUAUGCACAAAGCCAUGGUAAUCCCUGGUUCUAAAGCCACAUUUAAUUAUAGUAACAAAAGACUCAAGGCUACUAUGGGCCAUGUUAUAAUCAGUAUAAACUAAUUUCUCUAUUCCUGUAUUAUUUUUCAGAUUCUAAUGAAUCCUGGGUUGUAGCCCAUCAGGGUCUCACUGUUUUGAGGAGGACGUUAAGUUUCUGCCCAACAGCUGUAUCUGAGCAUUCCAGUAAGAUGAUAACUACAUUCCAAGCAUAAUACUGGGCUUCAUGCCCACUUGAUGCCAAGGUAGCAACCAACAGCUCAAGUCCAAAUUCUUUAUAAAUUUAGUCCCAGGGAGGGAAAAUAGAAAUAAAAUAAAAAUACAAAAAGAUCCUCCAAGAAAGCCCUUUUUUGUUUUUUUGAAUUAUGAUUAAAAAAAAAAAAAAGUUCACCCUUGUAUUGUCUUUGCUACACAGAUAUGAUGGCUGCUGUAGACCCUCAUUGGGCAGAUAUGUACCUUUCUCUCCUCUAGUUCUUGUCCCUGUAAAACUGCAGUGACAGAUACAGCAGAAGGGCUCCUGAUGAGCCCUGAGACUCCUUGUCAGCAGCUGGACCUUACAUGCUGCCCAUGGUCAAGGCUGAAUUGUGGCUAUGAAACAGUGUUCUUCCUUCUCCAUUUAGAUCAAAAAAUAAAAUUGUUGUGGACUGAGCCACAUACUGAU